rnacentral:rRNA from 1 species
GAUGAACGCUGGCGGCGUGCCUAAUACAUGCAAGUCGAGCGAACAGACGAGGAGCUUGCUCCUCUGACGUUAGCGGCGGACGGGUGAGUAACACGUGGAUAACCUACCUAUAAGACUGGGAUAACUUCGGGAAACCGGAGCUAAUACCGGAUAAUAUAUUGAACCGCAUGGUUCAAUAGUGAAAGACGGUCUUGCUGUCACUUAUAGAUGGAUCCGCGCUGCAUUAGCUAGUUGGUAAGGUAACGGCUUACCAAGGCAACGAUGCAUAGCCGACCUGAGAGGGUGAUCGGCCACACUGGAACUGAGACACGGUCCAGACUCCUACGGGAGGCAGCAGUAGGGAAUCUUCCGCAAUGGGCGAAAGCCUGACGGAGCAACGCCGCGUGAGUGAUGAAGGUCUUCGGAUCGUAAAACUCUGUUAUUAGGGAAGAACAUAUGUGUAAGUAACUGUGCACAUCUUGACGGUACCUAAUCAGAAAGCCACGGCUAACUACGUG